AUUUUCCAGUAAGAACAAGACGCCGACUCGGCGUUAACCUCGGGUCGGUGGAUAGGGGAUCGUCUGGUAAAUAUCCAAAAAUUGUGUAAAUCACGAUAGUUUAAUAGUUCACUAGUAUAAAUGGUGAAUCAGUUAAUCAAAGCUCCGUUUUAAUAUUCUAUUGAUAAUAAUUACUGGCCCUCAUCAAACCUAUUGUUUUCUCUCUGCAUUAUAUCAGCGAAUGUCGAGAAGUUUUCAUUUAACGUUCUACUGAAAAACGGGAGCGGCCUUUUUGGUUGUAUAGGGAAAUUCCGGCUCAGGGGUAAAUGUUUAUACGCGUCAUAUUCUAUGUACGCGUUAAAAUAGCACACAACAUUAUUAAAAAUAAUGCAGCGUGCAUCAGUGCGCACAGACAUAUGCAUUAUUAGCAAUAAAUGCCAAUAAUGCAUCUUCGUCACCCUGACAUGUACACGCGAUAACGUGAACAUCCCAAGAUGAGAAGGUGACAGUGCUAAAGGCCCCCCAUACGGUGUCGUCGGGUGCCUGAAGCACUGUUGGAAACGAUCGCUGUGAGUCUUUUCAGUUCAAUUUUAUAGAGAAAUAGUUUCGUUUGCGCUUGUGGGAUUUUAUCCUAGAUAUACGCAUGUGCAGAAUACAUGUACACCAUAAGUUCUAUUCCCGUGUUUAUCCAAUACGCUAUUUGAGUAAACCUUGUCAUUAAUGAUAUGUAAACUAGAACACUAUAAUUGACCUCCGCUUGUGGAGAUUUAAAUUUAGGGCGAUUAAUGAAACUGAAAUCUGUUCUAUCACAAUGCACUACAGUGCCUAUGGUUAUGUCUAUAUGCAUGUCCUCACAAAUGUCUAGUGUAACGUUGGAUAGGUUCAUUGUCAUACGGUCCCGACAAGCAGCAACGUACAGUAGUUCCAGCCGAAAAUAAUUACUUUUGAUUCGGGUCAGUAAUUAUAAUAGAUAACAAGUGAAAGUUGGCCGCGGUAUUCCCAUGCUAUGCAUACGAAGUAUUGUGCAUUAUAUCAACAUAUACUCGAGAAUAGUUGUCCAGCUAAACAUGUAUGUCAAAAUUAUCACAUCUUCUGGUUUUAAAUCAACAAUUCUGAUGGAUUUUGUGCAAGGACAGCUUCGCGUUCCGUUUCGCUUUGGCCGAUGCUUGCCGGAAGUACACUUAUUUACCGGAUGUUGUCGUCUCCUCCGCAGGCCCUUCGAUCUUCGACUACGUGCGCGGCUCGACACAAAUGAAAAACAAUAAAAAAAAAAAUUAAAAAAAAAUAGGAGCCGAAUUUAAGACCUCGGUGUCGUACCGACCCGAGGUAAUUACAUAUACC